UGCAAGUCGAACGCGAAAGCGGCUUCGGCCGUAAGUAGAGUGGCAAACGGGUGAGUAACGCGUGGGUGACCUGCCUUCGAGUGGGGGAUAACGUUUCGAAAGGAACGCUAAUACCGCAUGACAUCCCGUCCUUAGACGGAUGGUGAUCAAAGCUGGGGAUCGCAAGACCUGGCGCUUGAAGAGGGGCCCGCGUCCGAUUAGCUAGUUGGUAGGGUAAUGGCCUACCAAGGCGACGAUCGGUAGCCGGCCUGAGAGGGCGGACGGCCACACUGGGACUGAGACACGGCCCAGACUCCUACGGGAGGCAGCAGUGAGGAAUUGUUCGCAAUGGGCGCAAGCCUGACGACGCAACGCCGCGUGGAGGACGAAGAUCUUCGGGUCGUAAACUCCUGUCGAGCGGGACGAACCUCACCCGGGUCAAUACCCCGGGUGCCUGACGGUACCGCUAAAGGAAGCCCCGGCUAACUCCGUGCCAGCAGCCGCGGUAAUACGGGGGGGGC
rnacentral:rRNA from 1 species